GAUGAAGAACGUAGCGAAAUGCGAUAAGUAAUGUGAAUUGCAGAAUUCAGUGAAUCAUCGAAUCUUUGAACGCACAUUGCGCCCGCCAGUAUUCUGGCGGGUAUGCCUGUUCGAGCGUCAUUUCAACCAUCAAGCCCCCGGCUUGUGUUGGGGACCUGCGGCUGCCGCAGGCCCUGAAAACCAGUGGCGGGCUCGCUGUCACACCGAGCGUAGUAGAUUUUCAUCUCGCUCAGGGCGUGCUGCGGGUUCCGGCCGAAAAAAGCCUUAUUUACCCAAGGUUGACCUCGGAUCAGGUAGGAAGACCCGCUGAACUUAAGCAUAUCAAUAAGCGGAGGA
rnacentral:misc_RNA from 1 species